rnacentral:rRNA from 1 species
UACUAGAGUAGCACUCGCAUAUCAAUAAGCGGAGGAAAAGAAACUAACAAGGAUUCCCCUAGUAACGGCGAGUGAAGCGGGAAGAGCUUAAAUUUGAAAUCUUAAAGGGUUUCCCUUUACGAAUUGUAGUUUAAAGAAGUGUUUUCUGUUGAGGUUUUGGUAAAAGUUCUUUGGAAUAGGACAUCAUAGAGGGUGAGAAUCCCGUAUUUGACCUUUACUUUCAACUUUGUGAUACACUUUCAAAGAGUCGGAUUGUUUGGGGAAUGCAGUCCAAAAUGGGUGGUAAAUUUCAUCCUAAAGCUAAAUAUUGGCGAGAGACCGAUAGCGAACAAGUACCGUGAGGGAAAGAUGAAAAGAACUUUGAAAAGAGAGUUAAACAGUACGUGGAAUUGUCAAAAGGGAAGCGUUUGACACCAGUGUUGUUUUUCUGAAAAUCAAUUAAAGAACUGUUUAUGCUAAGCUGUUUAGACUUUAUCAGCUAUCUGUUUAGUUUUGAGCUUUUCUUUAAUGCACUUUUCAGUUAACAAGUCAACAUCAAUUUCUUUUGCUGUAAAAAAGCUUGAGGAAGGUGGCUUGAGAUUCGUCUUAAGUGUUUAUAGCCUCUUGCCUAUGCAGUCGGAGAGAUUGAGGUCUGCAGCGUAGAUCCUUCGGGGCUAAAUGCAUUUGUGCUAAGUUAUAGCAUUUUAUAGACAACUUGUUGACUAUGAUUUGUCUUGUAGCUUACUCGCUUAUGUUAUUUUACCUACGCUUAGGAUGUUGAGCGCAUGUCUCUCUCU